rnacentral:rRNA from 1 species
GACGAACGCUGGCGGCGUGCUUAACACAUGCAAGUCGAACGGUGACCUCGAGAGCUUGCUCUCGGGUGAUCAGUGGCGAACGGGUGAGUAACACGUGAGUAACCUGCCCCAGACUCUGGAAUAACCCCGGGAAACCGGAGCUAAUACCGGAUACGAGACGGAGUCGCAUGGCUACCGUCUGGAAAGUUUUUCGGUCUGGGAUGGACUCGCGGCCUAUCAGCGUGGUGGUGAGGUAACGGCUCACCAAGGCGACGACGGGUAGCCGGCCUGAGAGGGCGACCGGCCACACUGGGACUGAGACACGGCCCAGACUCCUACGGGAGGCAGCAGUGGGGAAUAUUGCACAAGGGGCGAAAGCCUGAUGCAGCGACGCCGCGUGAGGGAUGACGGCCUUCGGGUUGUAAACCUCUUUCAGCAGGGAAGAAGCGAAAGUGACGGUACCUGCAGAAGAAGCACCGGCUAACUACGUGCCAGCCGCCGCAGUAAGAC